AUGGUACAGAGGCUAUCCUGUCCCCCCUCAACUCCCUGCCUGGCAACCCUAGAGGGACAGGACUUCUGCUUCCCCGCUUGCAGAAGGAGGAAAUGGAAGCAGGGGUCCCAGUGGUGCCUGAGGGAGACCCUGCCAGGGUUCCCCCUUCCAGUCUGCGUAGGUGGCACAUGGCUGCAGACACCAGCCCAGGUGGCCCCGCGCAGUUUGACUGCCAGCUCACAGUCCGGCCCAGAUCCAAGUCCCACCGAGGGGACAGAGCAGAGGCCCCCGUGUCACCCUGGUGACAGGGAUGCGGGGCCUGAGCCCCAGGGCCCAGGCCCUGAGCCUGUGGACCUUCUUCUGAGGCCGGGGUUCUGGGCAAAUAUGUGCUUCCUGGACCCUAGGGUGUGGGGACAGGGCGGGAACAUGCCGAAAGAGGGCGGCCGGAAGCCGCUGUUACCUGUUGGAGCCCUUCCAAUCACCCAGGGGCCAGAACAUGGCCUCCUGAGGGAGGCUGGGCCUGGGGGCUGGGCCGUCCUGUGCGCACCGCAGGCUGGCCUCCCGGGCCCUAAGGGGCAUGGUCGCUUCCCGAGGACGCCCGCUGGGACUGGAUCUCCGGUUCCUCCCUCCUCCCAGAGUUGGAAGCAGGGGCUCAAGGAGCAAGUACAGGCCCCAGGCGUCCACCUGGGACCAAGGGGCCCUGCUAACCUCACAACCUCUGACCUCAGCUUCAUCGGCCCAAGCACGGGCAGAAUCCUGGACGCUGGACCAAGGCUCCCAGUCCUACCAGCAAAUGUUGCCCCGGGGGAUCCACAGUAUAGAGCAGGGACCCUGACCCAGUGUACUCCUGGCCUUAGGGUCGGGGUGGGCAGGGGAGAGGGACCCAGGACCCACAGAGAGAACUGUCCUGGGGGCCCCUGCUGGGGAGGUGUUGGCACAAGUCCUGGGCCUGGGGCAAGGGCUGGUGAGGUCAGGUGGGAGACGGAGCUCCACCCUCCUGCCCCUCGAGCCCAUCCCCAGCUGACCUGUGGCGGCCAUGGUCCUCGGGGGCCCCUUGGUCUCCCGCAGUCUUCCUGGCUUCCUUGGAGGGGUUGCACCCUGGAGGGCCGGGCCGGUAGGGACAGGGCCCAGCCUCGCACAUCAGACGUGUCUCCUCCUCUGUUUCUCCUCCUGUGUCUCCUACACGUGUGCCCAGCCCUGGACGUUCUCGGGCUCCUGUCCUGCCCUUCCAGGGAGAUGGCGGAGAGGAGGCCGGGGACAGCAGGCUUGUCUGAGGCCACCCCCUCCUAG
rnacentral:lncRNA from 1 species